rnacentral:rRNA from 1 species
CCUACGGGCGGCAGCAGUAGGGAAUCUUCCGCAAUGGACGCAAGUCUGACGGAGCAACGCCGCGUGAGUGAAGAAGGUUUUCGGAUCGUAAAACUCUGUUGUUAGAGAAGAACAAGUGCUAGAGUAACUGUUAGCGCCUUGACGGUAUCUAACCAGAAAGCCACGGCUACCUAGGUGCCAGCAGCCGCGGUAAUACGUAGGUGGCAAACGUGGUCCGGAUUUAUUGGGAGUAAAGCGAGCGCAGGCGGUUCCUUAAGUCUGAUGUGAAAGCCCCCGGCUCAACCGGGGAGAGUCAUUGGAAACUGGGGAACUUGAGUGCAGAAGAGGAGAGUGGAAUUCCAUGUGUAGCGGUGAAAUGCGUAGAUAUAUGGAGGAACACCAGUGGCGAAGGCGACUCUCUGGUCUGUAACUGACGCUGAGGCUCGAAAGCGUGGGUAGCAAACAGGAUUAGAUACCCGUGUAGUC